rnacentral:lncRNA from 1 species
AUGCUGGGCUGUGAUCGGAGUGGACAGCUGAGGAUUGGGGGCGGGAGAAGGUGGCCGCAGGACCCAGGAUGGCGCACUCCACGUCCUGGGGGAAGUGCCGAAAGGGCAGCCAUCAGGGAAGAAGCACAGGGGACGGGGCAGCCCUCCUGGAUUCCCUGCCAGGAAGACGGCGAUGCAGAAACUUGUGGACUUGUCGAUUUGCACAGCAGGGACCACACGGACGCAAUGCAUCAGCCAGGAGCACUUCCAGCUGCAGGCCAGCACUGCCUCGUCCCUCAGGUCUCGGGUGUCGGGUUGAUUGACGGAGGAUGGAGAGUGAUGGAGACAGUCAUUGGACCAGCAGUGCAGAACCCUGGCUAUGGACGCAUCCUGCCAUUAACUCUCCAUCCCACUCAACACUGGAGCUCUUUGGUUCCUAAUCUGUCAAACAGAAUUGCUCCUGUCUCUUCACCUCAUUUCUGA